UCCAAGGCAGCCAACCCUGAAGGGCACUUCCUACUCACCGUGCACCUGUAAACAAGCACCCUUGAGAUAUUGGUCGUAGGGAGGUGGGGUCCUAGAUUUCUCCGACAUGUAAUUUACUCUAUGUACAACCCGUCACUGUACUUCCUACUUAAUGUAACCGCUUGCAAAGAGAGUCGCGCUUACUAGCAAAUCAAGACCACGACAAGGGAGGUCUGAGGAAGGCCAGGACGCCGCUCAGAAGCGAAACCAACCACGCUCCGUUUCCUGUGGGCUAGGAAGGGCUCCGAGUUCCACAUACGCCCCUCAUUAGGCCAGGGGCUGAAGAAAUUGGGGCUAGUUUAUCACAUUCAGCUGAGGAGGCUGUUUCUCCAGGGCUGAAGGGUUCAGGGCGGAAUUGAAACCGGAGCCACUAAACACCAUGAACAAACGUGUGAUGUUCGGCCUUUUUGUUUUCACUCUUUAUCCAGGUGCUGUGCUGGGUGACCGUGACUCGCUCCAGCCCAGGGAACCCCAGAUGUCUGGAGCUGAAGGCGGCUCCGUGACCCUCAGCUGUUCUUACGAAACCAGCUACACUGCUGGUGUCUAUCUCUACUGGUACCGUCAGUAUCCGAACCGCGCCCCGCAGUACAUCCUGCGGAGAGGAGCGAAGGAAGUCAGCUCCGUCAGUGAUACCGCAGACUUCGCCCAGGAGAGGUUUUCUUCCCAGGCUGAUGGCAACUCCACAGCUCUGAACAUCACAGCCCUGGAGCUGGAAGACACAGCGGUGUAUUACUACGCCCUGCAGUGGGCACAGUGA